GGUGUCUGGGCUGCCAGCGAGUUCCCAGAACCCUGGCGUCCACCCCCACCCAGUGCCGUCAGCACCGUUUGCCUCCUCCACCGGCUGCUCCCGGGACCCGGGCGUGCCGAGCACCGGCUCCACGCCUCUUCUCUCCAGCUCAGUCACGCGAGUCCAGUGCCCCGGUCCCCGCUCUCAUGGAACCCAGACAUAGCCGGCCAUCCUGACCCCGCUCUGACCGCACGGAUAGACAAUCUCGGCACAAAGCGGAGACAGCCCAAGGCACCACCCUCCUAGAACUCAGGCCCAGGAAUUCGACUUCUGACACUUGGGCCCUGACUCUGAUCUCUGGUCAACAUACCUUCCCUGGGCCAGGAAGCUCAUGGUUGCUGGACUUGGAGGGAAGGCUGAAGGGAGACUUGUCUUAUGCGAAAGAGGCCUCUUUCAGACCUAGGGAAGAGGAUUCGUGUAAAAAUGCAUGUUGGAGAGUCACGAAAAGUUUGGCUGGAGAGGCCACGGCUGGAUUGUCCCUCUUAUUUCGGUUCUCCAAAUGCUCCAUUUUCCUCUCCACAGUCCUUUCUGCAAAACACUUUCUUUGAAUAUUUGGUUUAUCACUCUUUCCCAGUCCUCACUUUCCCGCCUCUCUAAAACUCUAAUCUCUGAGUUCCUAAUUUAGCCCUCUGGUCCCCCUCCCCAGCAAUUUCUUGGCGCUUUCACAGUUCGAGUUCCCUCUCCCGGACUUCCC